UUCUAAUACUUAACAAACAUUCUUAGAAAUCUUUAUCAUGUAGUCACAUUCAUUCAGCCUAUUUCUUCUAUUAACAAAGUGAUUAUACAGUUACUAAAAAGAAGACUUUUGUAUUCAUGCAGGACAACAACAGGCUGGAGUUGUUGCCCAUCCUCCUGCAGUGCCUCCAAGACCACAGCCCUCACAGGCUCCUGGUCCUGCUGUGCAUCGCCCAGUGGAUGCCGAUGGCCUCAUAACUCAUACUAGUACCUCACCUCAGCAGAUACCAGAGCAACCAAAUUUUGCAGAUUUCAGCCAGUUUGAAGUAUUUGCUGCAUCAAAUGUAAACGAAGAACAAGAUGAUGAAGCCGAGAAACAUCCGGAAGUCCUGCCGGCUGAAAAAGCUUCUGAUCCUGCAAGCUCUCUUCGAGUUGCCAAAACAGAUAGUAAAACUGAAGAAAAGACAGCUGCUAGUGCUCCUGCCAAUGUGGUAUGCAAAAUGUCUUUUAUAAUAAUAAUU
rnacentral:sRNA from 1 species